ensembl:snRNA U6 U6 spliceosomal RNA
GUGCUCGCUUUGGCAGCACAUAUACUGGAAUUGGAACAAUGCAGAGAUUAGCGUGGCCCCUGCCCAAGGAUGACACGCAAAUUCCUGAAGCGUUCCAUAUUUUU